AUGACGAACACAAAGGGAAAGAGGAGAGGCACCUGAUAUAUGUUCUCUAGGCCUUUUAGAAAACAUGGAGUUGUUCCUUUGGCCAUGUAUAUGCGAAUCUGUAAGAAAGGUGAAAUUGUAGACAUCAAGGGAACGGGUACUGUUCAAAAAGGAAUGCCCCACAAGUGUUACCAUGGCAAAACUGGAAAAGUCUACAACGUGACCCAGCAUGCUGUUGGCAUCGCUGUAAACAAGUUAAGGGCAAGAUUCUUGCCAAGAGAAUUAAUGUGCGUAUUGAGCACAUUAAACACUCUAAGAGCCAAGACAGCUUCCUGAAACGCGUGAAGGAAAAUGAUCAGAAAAAGAAAGAAGCCAAAGAGAAAGGUACGUGGGUUCAACUGAAGCACCAGCCUGCUCCACCCAGAGAAGCACACUUUGUGAGAACCAAUGGGAAGGAGCCUGAGCAGCUGGAACCUAUUCCCUAUGAAUUCAUGGCAUAA
rnacentral:lncRNA from 1 species